CCCUUAGAUGUCCGGGGCCGCACGCGCGCUACACUGAAGGAAUCAGCGUGGCUUUCUCCCUGACCCGAAAGGGUUGGGAAACCCGUUGAAUCUCCUUCGUGAUAGGGAUUGGGGCUUGAAAUUGUUCCCCAUGAACGAGGAAUUCCCAGUAAGCGCGAGUCAUAAGCUCGCGUUGAUUACGUCCCUGCCCUUUGUACACACCGCCCGUCGCUACUACCGAUUGAACGGUUUAGUGAGGGCCUCGGAUUGGUCUCGGCCCGCUCUUUACCGGGCUGCGCCGUUGGUCGAGAAGACGCUCGAACUUGAUCGUUUAGAGGAAGUAAAAGUCGUAACA
rnacentral:rRNA from 1 species